AGCUUUGCACUGUAGCAGUAUUGUAGUAAAUGAGGUUUAUCCGAGGCGCGAUUAUCGCUAAUUGAAAACUUUUUCCAAUACCCUGCCAUGACGACUUGAAAUAUAGUUGGCAUUGGCAAUUUUGACAGUUCUAUGGAGAC